rnacentral:rRNA from 1 species
GAUUAAGUUAUUAAGGGCGCACGGUGGAUGCCUUGGCACUAGAAGCCGAUGAAGGACGUUACUAACGACGAUAUGCUUUGGGGAGCUGUAAGUAAGCUUUGAUCCAGAGAUUUCCGAAUGGGGAAACCCAGCAUGAGUUAUGUCAUGUUAUCGAUAUGUGAAUACAUAGCAUAUCAGAAGGCACACCCGGAGAACUGAAACAUCUUAGUACCCGGAGGAAGAGAAAGAAAAUUCGAUUCCCUUAGUAGCGGCGAGCGAAACGGGAAGAGCCCAAACCAACAAGCUUGCUUGUUGGGGUUGUAGGACACUCUAUACGGAGUUACAAAGGACGACAUUAGACGAAUCAUCUGGAAAGAUGAAUCAAAGAAGGUAAUAAUCCUGUAGUCGAAAAUGUUGUCUCUCUUGAGUGGAUCCUGAGUACGACGGAGCACGUGAAAUUCCGUCGGAAUCUGGGAGGACCAUCUCCUAAGGCUAAAUACUCUCUAGUGACCGAUAGUGAACCAGUACCGUGAGGGAAAGGUGAAAAGCACCCCGGAAGGGGAGUGAAAUAGAACCUGAAACCGUGUGCUUACAAGUAGUCAGAGCCCGUUAAUGGGUGAUGGCGUGCCUUUUGUAGAAUGAACCGGCGAGUUACGAUUUGAUGCAAGGUUAAGCAGUAAAUGUGGAGCCGUAGCGAAAGCGAGUCUGAAUAGGGCGUUUAGUAUUUGGUCGUAGACCCGAAACCAGGUGAUCUACCCUUGGUCAGGUUGAAGUUCAGGUAACACUGAAUGGAGGACCGAACCGACUUACGUUGAAAAGUGAGCGGAUGAACUGAGGGUAGCGGAGAAAUUCCAAUCGAACCUGGAGAUAGCUGGUUCUCUCCGAAAUAGCUUUAGGGCUAGCCUCAAGUGAUGAUUAUUGGAGGUA